CAUUUUGACAGCGCUGUGUAUGUGUUUUGAGAGUGGGUGUGUGUUGUAGGCAAGCCUGCAGAUCUGGUUGGAUGAGAGCGGGGCUUUAUAAAAAGGCGGAGCACAACACAGAAGCGCUCUCAGUUGUUCAAGUUCAUCACUGUUUUGGCAUCUGUUAGGAUUUUCAGCGUGGCUGGGAAGUAGAUGGUCCCACUGGCCAGUAUCGGGCUUUUUCUUUUGCCAUCAGAGGGCCUCUGGAAGGUGAAGAAUCACAAGCUUUUGGUUUUCACGAAAAUAAGACCGACUCUUCACACAAGGAACGCCUUUUUGAAAGCUUGGAUUAUAUUUCUUUUUCUCGUAAGGGGUGGAACUCCAACCAGGUCCUCAGAGCCCCCCCGAGCUCUUCCACUGUUUCGACCCACCUCACAUCAAUAGACAUGAUCAUCAGACUGGGCAGGCUGACACCCGGAUACUUCCGCCUCCUCCAGAGGCAAGUUGCCGGUGAGGUGCAGACGCAGCCACAAGACCGUGCUGUCAACCAGAUAGCCAUGAUGCUGGCCAUCAUGGGCCUGAGUUUGUCCUACUACAGUGCCAAACAGAUGACGGAGAAGGUCCAGGCCCAGCCUGCGCCCUGAAGAGACUUGACCAUUCUGAUUGUGGAGAUAAUGGAUGAACCAAUGAGAAGUAAAGUGGGUGGAGCAAGGAGGCAGAAGCAGAGACACAGCAGUGUCUUCAGGACCGUACUUUUCUCACCUCACAGUUAUAGUCACACUUAAACACUGAAUUUCCAUGUGCAGAGAUUUCAGGGCUGCUGCGCGUGUUUUCUAGACUUUCUGUUGUCGGGACCUUGAGGGGUUUGUUUGGUUGGCUCACUUGGGGUCAUGGAUAGGACUGAUUUGGGUGGGUGAUUGAUUAAAACCGACUGCCAACUGGGUCUUACCAUUAGUCAUUACAAAGGUACAUGCUUGCAAGAUGCCGUCAAUACUGCUGAGCAAUGGGGGGACUGUGACUUUUGCAAGUGGCCAAAGAGGGUUAAAUAACAAACAGUAAUGCCUUUUUUUUUUUUAAGGGAAGGCUGACUGCAAUUGAGAUGUACCUUGUAACAAAGUGAUAACAGGCCCAAAACAUGGUUAAAGGGGAUGAAAAGUUAGCUCAACUGUUUUCUGUAGCUUUUUUUUUUUUUUUUUUUCCCCUUCAUGAGAGAACCUUGCAGAGCCUUGUGAACAGAUUGGGAGCUGUAUUCACAAACUGUCAAUAUUAAAUAUAUACACUUGUGAAAUGUAUCUGUCAGGUGGCAGCGAUUCAGUGAAGAUUUGCACAAAAGUGCAGAAAUGUUUUUAAAUACUACAGUAGAUCUGCAAAGGGACUUAAAACUACUCACUACCUUUUUUUUUUUUUUUUUUUUUUUUUUUUUUUCUUCCUUUUUUUUAAAUGGUGUUUUUUGUGAUUUCACGCUGUUAACAUAAAUUGACGUCCUGUUAAUAAGAUUUGUGACUUCCUUGAUGAGCACCUUCUUGCAGUAUCUACUACAUGUUAAAUGUUUGCAUUAACUUUACUGAACAUUGCAUGGUGUGCAAUCAAAGCAAAAUUCAUGAGUCUGUCUUGUUUUUACUGAUGAAUGAAUGUAUUACUUUAUUUUGUAAUGAUUUAAUAAAGCUGUGAAUAUUUUGAAUAAGA